rnacentral:rRNA from 1 species
UGGGGAAUAUUGGACAAUGUGCGCAAGCCUGAUCCAGCCAUGCCGCGUGAGUGAUGAAGGCCCUAGGGUUGUAAAGCUCUUUCACCGGUGAAGAUAAUGACGGUAACCGGAGAAGAAGCCCCGGCUAACUUCGUGCCAGCAGCCGCGGUAAUACGAAGGGGGCUAGCGUUGUUCGGAUUUACUGGGCGUAAAGCGCACGUAGGCGGACUUUUAAGUCAGGGGUGAAAUCCCGGGGCUCAACCCCGGAACUGCCUUUGAUACUGGAAGUCUUGAGUAUGGUAGAGGUGAGUGGAAUUCCGAGUGUAGAGGUGAAAUUCGUAGAUAUUCGGAGGAACACCAGUGGCGAAGGCGGCUCACUGGACCAUUACUGACGCUGAGGUGCGGAAGCGUGGGGAGCAAACAGG